rnacentral:rRNA from 1 species
UACGUAGGGUGCAAGCGUUGUCCGGAAUCAUUGGGCGUAAAGCGCGCGUAGGUGGUCAUGUAAGUCCGCUGUGAAAGUCAAAGGCUCAACCUUUGAAAGCCGGUGGAUACUGCAUGACUAGAGUACGGAAGAGGCGAGUGGAAUUCCUGGUGUAGCGGUGGAAUGCGCAGAUAUCAGGAGGAACACCAAUAGCGGAGGCAGCUCGCUGGGACGUUACUGACACUGAGGCGCGAAAGCGUGGGGAGCGAACAGG